GGUCUUAUAGUUUAAUAAAAAUAUUGGAUUGCAAAUCUAAAGUUAAGUCAUUUUAAGACUU
rnacentral:tRNA from 1 species